rnacentral:rRNA from 1 species
UACGUAGGGUGCAAGCGUUGUCCGGAUUUAUUGGGCGUAAAGAGCUCGUAGGCGGUUUGGUAAGUCGGGUGUGAAACCCCCAGGCUCAACCUGGGGCCGCCAUCCGAUACUGCCAUGACUUGAGUCCGGUAGGGGACCAUGGAAUUCCUGGUGUAGCGGUGAAAUGCGCAGAUAUCAGGAGGAACACCAGUAGCGAAGGCGGUGGUCUGGGCCGGUACUGACGCUGAGGAGCGAAAGCGUGGGGAGCGAACAGG